GGUACAGUCCGAGGCGGGGUCGCGCAUGCGCACGACGAGCAGGUAACGGCAAGCUGCUGGGCCAAGUUGCUAGGGGUCCUUCUGGGUCCUUGCUGGCAUCCAGGGAUUGACUUUGAUCCUGGCUUCUGGGACGCGACAGCAAGCAAGAUGCCUCUCUUUGGGAAUAUCUUCAGUCCGAAGAAGACACCUCCCCGGAAGUCGGCUUCCCUGUCUAACCUGCAGACCUUGGAUCGCUCAAUCCGGGAUGUGGAGCUGGGCCUCAACUAUGGAACCCCCACAAUGAACUUGGCGGGGCAGAGCCUGAAGUUUGAAAAGGGCCAGUGGAUAGCAGAGGCCGGGAUCAGUGGGGGUGUGGACCAGAGGGAGGCCCAGCGCCUCCGCAGGCGGAACCAGCAGCUGGAGGAAGAGAACAAUCUCCUGCGGUUGAAAGUGGACAUCCUGCUAGAUAUGCUUUCAGAGACCACUGCUGAAUGCCACUUAAUGGAGAAGGAACUGGACAAACUGAAGAGUGUCAGUCGGAGAAGGAAAUAAGACCCCGAGAUGCUGGUUAGGAGCAGGGAGAAUCCCACCUUAGCGGGGAAGUAGGGUGAAACGGAGCAGUUUGGUUUUUAGCAAAAGUAGUAGAUUUGGCCCCGGAGCGAGCAACAACAGGCAUUGGCACCCUUUCUUGGCAGAAGGAAGGUGGCACAGGAUGGAGGAAGCCAGGAAGCCAGGGCAGUGGCUGGGAUGCCAGUCUGCAAGCCGAGGGGGUUGGUGAGCGUCGGAUGCAAUGGCGAGAGUCCCCACUACCCUGUGGCACAGAUGCUGUUGGGAGCUGCAGCUGAACUCCAUCAUCUCCCCCCUUACGCUGGGCUUGAGGGUGGCACUAGUUCUACCGCCACAUUUAGGGGUCUGGGCUCCUCUGGCUUCAGCUUCCCAGCAACAAGCGCCAGCCUUCCAAAGCAACGCCAUUUUUGUGCUGCUUUCCUGUUUAUACUAUUUCUUUUUUAUUAAAUGAUGCUGAAUAAUCUCUCUGUGGCCAAAAUGACUGCUAAAAAGCAUGGGUUCCUAAAGAAGUAACAGGAAAGACCAAACGGUCAGGGGAUGAUACAGCUUUCCUGUUCCCCAGAGGAAGUGACCCGGAAGUGAAAUCAUAUCUGUGUGGUCAGAUUCUUUUGCCCUCCUGCUUUGGAGAGUGUAACUGACCUAGCCCAGCAGGGAUCAGAGGUUGGCACAGGAAUUCCUACCUGAGUCAGUGUGAGCCGGGUCUCCAUGUGGAGGGGAACCCAGUGGUCUUGGUACAGGCACAGAGCCCAGGUGUCUCAGCCACAAUGCAUGCCUGGUACCAAAGUCUUUUGCACACACCAUCUCCUUGCUCCCAACAUAGACCUGUGCAGCAAGACUGUCAGCAUGACUAUCGGCAGGUAAGGAGUCAGACAGUGCAGGGAUCACAUGGCAGGGCGCUAGAGCGUGCUAGUUCACAGCCCGCAAGACAGACAGGGUCUUGCUAAGUUGCUGAAUUGACCAGGCUGGGCUUGACUUUGGAGUCUCCUGUCUCAGCGUCCAGGAUGCUGGGACUAUUGAGGCAUAUGCUACUGCAGCUGGUUCAAAUGUGGGAGAGCCUUGGAGCGUCUGUAAGAUUCUCAAAGGGGCCUAUCUGACCCCAUCUCAAAAAUAAAAAGGGCUGAGGAUAUA